rnacentral:rRNA from 1 species
UACGAAGGGGGCUAGCGUUGUUCGGAAUCACUGGGCGUAAAGCGCACGUAGGCGGGUCUUUUAAGUCAGGGGUGAAAUGCCAAGGCUCAACCUUGGAACUGCCUUUGAUACUGGAGUCUUGAGUCCGGGAGAGGUGAGUGGAACUGCGAGUGUUAGAGGUGAAAUCGUAGAUAUUCGCAAGAACACCAGUGGCGAAGGCGGC